rnacentral:rRNA from 1 species
CCCUUAGAUGUCCUGGGCUGCACGCGCGCUACACUGACGCACCCAACGGGUUUACGACCUUGCCUGGAAAGGUUGGGUAAUCCUACAAAAAUGCGUCGUGGUGGGGACAGAUUACUGCAAUAACUAAUCUUCAACGAGGAAUUCCUAGUAAGCGCGAGUCAUCAGCUCGUGCUGAUUACCUCCCUGCCCUUUGUACACACCGCCCGUCGCUCCUACCGAUUAAGUGAUCCGGUGAAUAGUUCGGACUGCUGCAAUGCUUGGAUCCCGAGAAUUGCGGCGAAAGUUUAGUGAACCUUAUCACUUAGAGGAAGGAGAAGUCGUAACA